ensembl:lncRNA
GAAGCAUACUUACAUAUGGGAUCUCCUGCAACAGCUAGGUCUGAUGGUUCACUGGGAGAGCCAACUCCUGCAGCAUUUAUUGCCAUCGCUCUGAACUGGUAUUUAACACCUUCAAUCAAACGGGGAACAUUAAAUUCCACGCCUUUCAAUCCCACUUUGGUUAUCGGUGCUCGGCUAACACGUGACCAGUAGGCACCUCCCUCUUCUCUCUUCUCCAGCCAGUAGCCAGUAAUUGGAGAGCCGCCGUUGUCCAGAGGAGGAGUCCAGCUCACUAGCAUCGACCCUUUGGUGCGCUCCAAGACUGUUGGCUUUCCCGGAGGUCCAGGAGUGCGAUAAGGAUCUUGAAUGACCACUUUAUCUGAUUUGCAUUCAUCGCUGGUUCCAUAUUUAUUCACUGCCCUAACUCGGAACUCAUACUGACCAUUGGGGAUAAGUUUCCAGAGCUAGAAAUCAGAUGAACAAUAAUUUCUUAAAAACAAUAUACUUACAUUGAUUUUCACUUGUUUUAAAAUUCCAGUUAUUUUGGUAGGGAAGACUGUAAAAAGAAAUACUUCUAUAAACUCAGUUAUCUGAGUUUCUCCACUCAAACAUGGAGAAAGUCAUUUAAAAUGAGAAUGUGUAAAUUUAUUGCACCUAAUAGUGGCUCUCUCAAGUAAAAGAGGAUCUGUAUAUCAAAGUAUUUACUAAGUGGCUUUAUGUGCAAGAUGCUAAAAACUAUACUUAAGCUUUUUGUGUGUGGUUUUGAGUUUAAUCAUUAAAUUCCAAGGUCAUGCUAGAAUGAUGUUAAUUCAGGGUUAUGUCCUUUAAGUGUGCAUAAGAAAAUACUUAGAAGAGUUUACCCCAUAUCUCCUCUCUACAGCAGUGUUGGUGACUUCUUCCCAUUCAGCUUUCUUCCUGCUUGCAUCGCGUUUGUCAAUGACAUAAUGGGUGAUUUCACCCCCACCAUUGUCUAGAGGGGCAUCCCACGUUAAGUGGCAAGAUUCAGCUUUAAUGUCAACAACAGCAAGAUUUCUUGGUGGGGAUGGACGAUCUGAAAAGGAACCAAAGGAGGAGAUUGAGAAGCAAAUUCUUAGACACUGGAUUUCUUUUUUUUAUAAGAAAGCGUGUCACUUACCGAAUACUUCGACAUGGACAUUUCGGAACACUGAGCCAAGGCGAUUAGAGGCAGUCACCGUCUUGUGAAGCUUGCCCUCCGAUGAGAUGAGUACACUUCUGCUUGUGUGGAGUUUGACAUCAUUUUUGAACCAGACUACGUGCAUUUUUUCAUGAGAAAGUUCACAGACAAAAGUUGCUGUUUCACCUUCUUUCACUGUUUGAUCUUCAAGAGGUGAUAUGAAUUUCAAUCUUAUACCUGCAAUGCAAGGUAAUAGGCUCAGAAAUACAAUUUAGUUCUCAGAAAUAUUCCACUCUAAUCUGUCUGGUAGAAAGAAUCUGUUUCACGUGGCAUUUAUUGAGUCACCUUUUCAAAUGGAGCUCUCCUCCAUUAAAAAAAAAAUUAAGGGGGUUGUUUUGAUGGCAAUGUGAAAAUAAAGUCAUGGGGCCGAUGGUCACUUACAGCUGUUAGAACUUGGUGUUCUGUC